UCGGGUGGCACGCCGAAUCCCGCCUCGCCCGGUGCUUCGACAUCCAGCAGGCGGGAGCGGGGGGCCGAAGUUCCCGGGCGUCGUAGGCAGGCGCCCUUCGGGGUGAAGCCGCGCAGCGCGAUCGGCCUAUUACCAAGUGUGGCCGGGGCUGCUUUCUGGAUCGAACCCGACAGCUGACUUCGCAGGUGUGAGGAAGGGUAUUU
rnacentral:sRNA from 2 species